GAUGAAGAACGUAGCGAAAUGCGAUAAGUAGUGUGAAUUGCAGAAUUCAGUGAAUCAUCGAAUCUUUGAACGCACAUUGCGCCCCUUGGUAUUCCAUGGGGCAUGCCUGUUCGAGCGUCAUUUGUACCUUCAAGCUCUGCUUGGUGUUGGGUGAUUGUCUAUCUUUAUAGACUCGCCUUAAAGUCAUUGGCAGCCGGCAUAUUGGCCUGGGAGCGCAGCACAAGUCGCGCUUCUUGUCAUGAAUGUCGGCGUCCAGUAAGUCUACAUAUUUUGCUCUUGACCUCGGAUCAGGUAGGGAUACCCGCUGAACUUAAGCAUAUCAAUAAGCGGAGGA
rnacentral:misc_RNA from 1 species